rnacentral:rRNA from 1 species
AUACAUGCAAGUCGAGCGGACAGAUGGGAGCUUGCUCCCUGAUGUUAGCGGCGGACGGGUGAGUAACACGUGGGUAACCUGCCUGUAAGACUGGGAUAACUCCGGGAAACCGGGGCUAAUACCGGAUGCUUGAUUGAACCGCAUGGUUCAAUUAUAAAAGGUGGCUUUUAGCUACCACUUACAGAUGGACCCGCGGCGCAUUAGCUAGUUGGGGAGGUAACGGUUCACCAAGGCAACAAUGCGUAGCCAACCUGAAAGGGGGAUCGGCCACCCUGGGACUGAAACACGGCCCAAACUCCUACGGGAGGCAGCAGUAGGGAAUCUUCCGCAUUGGACAAAAGUUUGACGGAGCACCGCCCCGGGAGUGAUGAAGGUUUUCGGAUCGUAAAAUUCUGUUGUUAGGGAAGAACAAGUACCGUUCGAUUAGGGGGGUACCUUGACGGUCCCUAACCAGAAAGCCACGGUUAACUCCUUGCCAGCAGCCGCGGUAAUACGUAGGUGGCAAGCGUUGUCCGGAUUAUUGGGCGUAAGCGCGCGCAGGCGGUUUCUAAGUCUGAUGUGAAGCCCCGGUCACCGGGAGGUCAUGGAACUGGAACUGAUGCGGAGAGGAAUGGAUUCACGUGUAGCGUGAAUGCGUAGAUGUGAGGACCAGUGCGAAGGCACUCUCUGGUCUGACUGACGCUGAGCCGA